rnacentral:rRNA from 1 species
GACGAACGCUGGCGGCGUGCUUAACACAUGCAAGUCGAACGAAGUGGCGAACGGGUGUGUAACGCGUAAUCAACCUGCCCUUCAGGGGGGGACCACAGUUGGACACGACUGCUAAUACCGCAUACUGCAUGGGGUGAUUGCGUCUGAUUAGCUAGGUGGAGGCGUAACGGCCCGCCAAGGCGAUGAUCAGUAGCCGGUCUGAGAGGAUGAACGGCCACAGUGGGACUGAGACACGGCCCAGACUCCUACGGGAGGCAGCAGUGGGGAAUCUUCCGCAAUGGACGGAAGUCUGACGGAGCAAAGCCGCGUGAGUGAUGACGGCCUUCGGGUUGUAAAGCUCUGUUAAUCGGGACGCGGUACCGGAAUAGAAAGCCACGGCUAACUACGUGCCAGCAGCCGCGGUAAUUC